rnacentral:rRNA from 1 species
AGCAGCCGCGGUAAUUCCAGCUCCAAUAGCGUAUAUUAAAGUUGUUGCAGUUAAAAAGCUCGUAGUUGAAUUUCGGGAUCAAUACGUCGGUCGUGCUUCGGUACGUACUGGCGUCAUUGGUUUCUCCCUUCUGACGAACCAUGAUGUCAUUAACUUGGUGUCAUGGGAAAUCAGGACCGUUACUUUGAAAAAAUUAGAGUGUUUAAAGCAGGCUCACGCUUGAAUACAUUAGUAUGGAAUAAUGAAAUAGGACGUUCGAUCCUAUUUUGUUGGUUUCUAGGAUUGACGUAAUGAUUAAUAGGGAUAGUUGGGGGCAUUAGUAUUCAAUUGUCAGAGGUGAAAUUCUUGGAUUUAUUGAAGACUAACUACUGCGAAAGCAUUUGCCAAGGAUGUUUUCAUUAAUCAAGAACGAAAGUUAGGGGAUCGAAGACGAUCAGAUACCGUCGUAGUCUUAACCAUAAACUAUGCCGACUAGGGAUCGGAUGAUGUUAUUUUUAAUGACUCAUUCGGCGCCUUACGG